UACGUAGGGUGCAAGCGUUGUCCGGAAUUAUUGGGCGUAAAGAGCUCGUAGGCGGCCAGUUGCGUCCGCUGUGAAAUCCUGGGGCUUAACCCCGGGCGUGCAGUGGAUACGGGCUGGCUAGAGGCAGGCAGGGGAGAACGGAAUUCCCGGUGUAGCGGUGAAAUGCGCAGAUAUCGGGAGGAACACCGGUGGCGAAGGCGGCAUUCUGGACUGUAACUGACACUGAGGAACGAAAGCCAGGGGAGCAAACGGG
rnacentral:rRNA from 1 species